CAGAGUAGGAAUCCGUGCGUCAAGUGCUGGUGGAACGGGGAGUUGUCCACCGGACGAAAGAGGCAGAAGAAGCUUGGCCUCUGCGGUACCGAUUCCGCAUCCCGCUGU
rnacentral:ncRNA from 1 species